rnacentral:lncRNA from 1 species
AACUCCAGGUCGCGCCAAUCAGAUCAGAGAAAGAACUAUGGGCUCCGCCCCUCCAGCCGCGGUCAUCACAGAAUGGCCUGGCACGGUGACCACGGAGUGCCCUGGCACCGGUGCCCGCGGCUGUGACGGAAAAAGGGUGGGAAGAACAGGGAAGAGGAAGCAGAAACAGGUUAUCUGUUCACUCUGAUGGUAGAGAAGACCUUAAAUGACCUGAUGGAGCUGAAAACCAUGGCGAGAACUUCCUGCCUUCGAUUUCUCACAAGCUCGGGCAUACCACGAGGCUUGGAGACUCAAAACCUGAAGAGCCUGCAAUCAGAUUUCUCCCUUACUAUUCCUGCUCAUUGUCUUCUGUGGACUAAUACUGAACAUGAAACUUUGCUUACAGUUUUGUGGCCUGUUCCUUUCCUCUGAUUGCUGAUCAUUGCAUGAAUUUCCUGAGAUUAUCACUGAAUAGGACCUUUCUUUUUCCUGUAUCCUCUACUACACACACUGAGUUCAAAUAGAAUUAUUUUACUUGGAAAACUCCAGGUUUUGCUAAGUUCCAGCCUUGGUUUGUGUAGCACUGGUUGGCUGCCUUAGACUAAUUUUUUGGGGGUGUCAGAUAGUAAAAGGAGCACAAUCAAGCACCAGGUCAUCUGAAAGACAAAUUUUAGACGUCACUUUCUUUUGUGAUUUUGUUGCUUAACCCAGUGCAGGGGCAGUCAAAGCUGUAUCACCAUUGCAUUCACUGUCUAGGUAAAAAUGGGAAAAUUCAGUCAGUUAUACUAAUAUUCCUUACUACUUGCAAUUUAUGUUCACUGGCCUAUUGGUAUGAGCAAUGCAUUGUACAUUACAUAUUUGGCAGUAAAAGGACAGAUACCCAGAUGUCAUACUAAAAUUUCUGCAUUUGUUUGAAAAUACUAGUUUAAGCAAUUACAUGUUAUGCAAGUGGUUAGUCCUUCCCUCUCCAGCUUGGCUGCCACCAGUAAUAAUGGAUCAUAACAUCUUCUCCUGUGUGAUCUGAUGCGGCCUUGGGAUUCGUCCCAACGCAGGACUCCAGAGAUCAGUGGAUCAGUGAAUUAUGUUUGGGAGAUGCAACCCCUGUUGUUACUGGGCUGGGGGCCCAAGCAGCUGCUGGUGGGGUGUUCUGCCCUGC